rnacentral:rRNA from 1 species
CCGGCGCCUGAGGAUGGCUCUGCGGCUUAUCAGGUUGUAGUGAGGGUAACGUCCUCACUAGCCUAUGACGGGUACGGGCCCUGAGAGGGGAAGCCCGGAGAUGGACUCUGAGACACGAGUCCAGGCCCUACGGGGCGCAGCAGGCGCGAAAACUCCGCAAUGCUCGAAAGAGUGACGGGGGGAUUCCAAGUGCCUACGCUCAGCGUAGGCUGUUCAGAUGCCUAAAAAGCAUCUGGAGUAAGGGCUGGGUAAGACGGGUGCCAUCUGUGGCAGCAGCCGAAAAUUUGGCUUGCUACUGCAAGGCAUAAGCCGCCGCGGUAAUACCCGCAGCUCGAGUGGUAGUCGAUUUUAUUGGGCCUAAAGCGUCCGUAUCCGGUCUGGUAAAUGCUUGGGUAAAUCGUCUGGCUUAACCAGAUGAAUUCCGGGUAGACUACCAGACUUGGGACCGGUUGAGGAAGAGGGUACUUCAGGGGUAGGAGUGAAAUCCUGUAAUCCUUGAAGGACCACCAGUGGCGAAGGCGCUCUUCUAGGACGGGUCCGACGGUGAGGGACGAAAGCCAGGGGAGCAAACCGGAUUAGAUACCCGGGUAGUCCUGGCCGUAAACGAUGUGGGCUUGGCAUUGGGGGUUCUACGUGAGCGCUCAG